AAUUCGAGAGGCGUGUAGGCUGCAGGCGCUCUCUUUUUGACUCUGGCUCGAUGAAUAACAGACAGAAAGCCUUUACGCGCCAUAGAAAGCAAGGAAGUAAUGCUGAAAAAGCUUUGGAAUCUAGUUGUGUAAAGAAAUCCAAGUUAUCGAGGCGGGCUGUGUAAAUGUGUCCGCUCCUAUACGCGCGCACGGGGCGCACCGACCUGUAGUAGCCUGAUCUUGGACAGCCUAUCAAACCUGGGCACCGAGGACUGUCUAUUUCACUUUGAAGGGAUGCUGGUCGUCAGACACGUGAGCUGAGCUGAUGAGAUGAGUUUAUCGCGGAUUUGGAUGAAGGGUUUUCUGCGCGUUAAUGGCCAGGCAUGCGAACUAGGCUACGGUGCGCUCAGAUGUGAGUGUUUUUUUUCUUUCUCUUCUCGGUCGCUCUCCGUAUCCACCGCUCCGCCUCCCCCUUUUCGCAACAUUGACGCAACCAAAAACACUGGAACAAAAGAAACAACUUCCUUGAAGCUUUGCUGAAACUGCACUUAGUCGGAGAAUGGAAGCGUGUUGUCAACUUGUCUGGAUGGAAAUGUCGAGGUGAGGCUGUCACCAGGAGCCGGCUGGCAGCGAGGGAGAUGCAGUCGAUCACUCCGAAACACAUCCAGGCUGUCGAGUAAUGACUGGCUGCAUUAGGAGGGGACAGAAGACUUCUGCAAAAGAUGCUGAUGAUCAUCUAAUCAUCUUUAGGUAGAACAAAUAUAGGGAAUUGGUGUGUAGUUAUCUGUGAUCAUGUGGUCUGGACUAGAAGCCAGAGGGAUAAGGACAGCAGAUUGAACCCAGAAGAAGCGAAGCACUGACACCCUGACUGCACUUCUGGCGAUGCUGUAGCAGCACGGAAUGGUUUGUGGGUUACAUAGAGAUGCAGGCCAUACUGUGCUGCCGCAGAAGAGCCUGAAAAUACGACCUCGCACCCCUUCAACCUGUGUAACUAAGCCGACAUGCUUACUGUUCUAAACGUAUGCAAAGUAGACAACUGUUUGCAUGAUGAUUAAAAGUUGUCUGAAUUUGCCUUUGCUGGUCGCCUUACUGUAGCAGCACGUAAAUAUUGGAGUUAAGACUUUAGCUGAAGCCUCCAGUAUUGAUCGUGCUGCUGAAGCAAAGCUGAUCACUCACAAUCAGCACAACCAACCUAACCCGUGACGACAGGCUGAAUGGUGACGGAUACCCACAGGUACACACAACCACUACUUUGUUCUAAUAGUUAAAAUGUGUUGAUACCAUCUUUACAUGUCACUGUUCUGUCUGCACACUUGAAAAAUAAAAAAUUGAAUUGGCUUUUGA